rnacentral:miRNA from 1 species
AAGCGUAAGAAGAGAUCUGAACC